GGUAGUCCACGCCGUAAACGAUGUCGACUUGGAGGUUGUGCCCUUGAGGCGUGGCUUCCGGAGCUAACGCGUUAAGUCGACCGCCUGGGGAGUACGGCCGCAAGGUUAAAACUCAAAUGAAUUGACGGGGGCCCGCACAAGCGGUGGAGCAUGUGGUUUAAUUCGAUGCAACGCGAAGAACCUUACCUACUCUUGACAUCCAGAGAACUUAGCAGAGAUGCUUUGGUGCCUUCGGGAACUCUGAGACAGGUGCUGCAUGGCUGUCGUCAGCUCGUGUUGUGAAAUGUUGGGUUAAGUCCCGCAACGAGCGCAACCCUUAUCCUUUGUUGCCAGCGGUUAGGCCGGGAACUCAAAGGAGACUGCCAGUGAUAAACUGGAGGAAGGUGGGGAUGACGUCAAGUCAUCAUGGCCCUUACGAGUAGGGCUACACACGUGCUACAAUGGCGCAUACAAAGAGAAGCGACCUCGCGAGAGCAAGCGGACCUCAUAAAGUGCGUCGUAGUCCGGAUUGGAGUCUGCAACUCGACUCCAUGAAGUCGGAAUCGCUAGUAAUCGUAGAUCAGAAUGCUACGGUGAAUACGUUCCCGGGCCUUGUACACACCGCCCGUCACACCAUGGGAGUGGGUUGCAAAAGAAGUAGGUAGCUUAACCUUCGGGAGGGCGCUUACCACUUUGUGAUUCAUGACUGGGGUGAGGUCGUAACAAGGUAACCGUAGGGGAACCUGC
rnacentral:rRNA from 1 species